CCCCAGUUGACGAGUCCCAAAUAGAACGAAACGUACGUCCUUGAU
rnacentral:hammerhead_ribozyme from 1 species